UACGUAGGGUGCGAGCGUUAAUCGGAAUUACUGGGCGUAAAGCGUGCGCAGGCGGUGAUGUAAGACAGGUGUGAAAUCCCCGGGCUUAACCUGGGAACUGCAUUUGUGACUGCAUCGCUGGAGUGUGGCAGAGGGGGAUGGAAUUCCGCGUGUAGCAGUGAAAUGCGUAGAUAUGCGGAGGAACACCGAUGGCGAAGGCAGCCCCCUGGGCCAAUACUGACGCUCAGGCACGAAAGCGUGGGGAGCAAACAGG
rnacentral:rRNA from 1 species